rnacentral:rRNA from 1 species
GAUGAACGCUGGCGGCGUGCCUAACACAUGCAGGUCGAGCGAUCUUCUUCGGAAGAGAGCGGCGGACGGGUGAGUAACGCGUGGGUAACCUGCCUCAUACACAUGGAUAACAUACCGAAAGGUAUGCUAAUACAAGAUGAUAUAAGAGAUUCGCAUGGAUUUCUUAUCAAAGCUCCGGCGGUAUGAGAUGGACCCGCGUCUGAUUAGCUAGUUGGUAAGGUAACGGCUUACCAAGGCGACGAUCAGUAGCCGACCUGAGAGGGUGAUCGGCCACAUUGGAACUGAGACACGGUCCAAACUCCUACGGGAGGCAGCAGUGGGGAAUAUUGCACAAUGGGCGAAAGCCUGAUGCAGCAACGCCGCGUGAGCGAUGAAGGCCUUCGGGUCGUAAAGCUCUGUCCUCAAGGAAGAUAAUGACGGUACUUGAGGAGGAAGCCCCGGCUAACUACGUGCCAGCCGCCGCAGUAAUAC